UUAUUCCUACCCCACAAAUCCCUCUUCUUUAUUCUUUCUCAUCUUCUCUUUAGCCUUGUGCCAGUGCCGGAACUGUCCAGAGAACGAGACGCGGAGGAGACUCAUUAUGGAGGUACAAUCCCUCUACCUACAGACCUAACCGCUUGGGAGUUUCCGGUGACCCAUAAAAAAUCGUAGGCAAUCUUAGCCACUGGUGGGUUUCGAGUUUAGUCAAAUCAACGUAAACUGGACGUAUACUCUCGAUUUGGGCGUUAUUGUAUGUUCAGACCAAUCGUGAUAAGAAGCUGUUAAUGAACAAGAAUUCAGAUACCACAAUGAAGUGUUGUUCCGUAUUCUAGCAAGAUGUGGCUGCUCUUUAACCAUUUGAAAAAGGGUUAAAUGGAUUGUUUUUGCAGGGUUGUUUUGAGUGCCUAUGAUCUUUGCUCCUCGUACUCUUCUCAACUGUCUUCACAUGGUGCAAUGGUUGAAGGAACAAAUGGUGGAGUUGGAACUCUAAAAAGUGGAGAACAUGCAUGAUGAAGAAAAUUGAAAAAUAGUAACGUUAUACGCUCAAAUAAAUGAGAGAUUUCAAGCGUUGCCACAAAACUUUUGACUGAGUUAAGAUAUGGGUUAAUGUUGGUAGACAUUAUAAUUUGAGUAUUUAUUAUAUUGCUUUUGGAUACUUGGCAUAUUUAUUUUGGUUUGAAUAAACUGAUAUUUUAUUUUAUCUGGUUUGGAUAUUUAACUUUGGUGUGAU
rnacentral:lncRNA from 1 species